GACGAACGCUGGCGGCGUGCUUAACACAUGCAAGUCGAACGGAAAGGCCCUGCUUUUGUGGGGUGCUCGAGUGGCGAACGGGUGAGUAACACGUGAGUAACCUGCCCUUGACUUUGGGAUAACUUCAGGAAACUGGGGCUAAUACCGGAUAGGAGCUCCUGCUGCAUGGUGGGGGUUGGAAAGUUUCGGCGGUUGGGGAUGGACUCGCGCCUUAUCAGCUUGUUGGUGGGGUAGUGGCUUACCAAGGCUUUGACGGGUAGCCGGCCUGAGAGGGUGACCGGCCAAAUUGGGACUGGGAUGAGGCCCAGACUCCUACGGGAGGCAGCAGUGGGGAAUAUUGCACAAUGGGCGGAAGCCUGAUGCAGCAACGCCGCGUGCGGGAUGACGGCCUUCGGGUUGUAAACCGCUUUCGCCUGUGACGAAGCGUGAGUGACGGUAAUGGGUAAAGAAGCACCGGCUAACUACGUG
rnacentral:rRNA from 1 species